CCCUUAGAUGUUCUGGGCCGCACGCGCACUACACUGACGAAGUCAGCGAGCAUGUCCUACGCCGACAGGUGCGGGGAAUCUUGUCAAACUUCGUCGUGAUGGGGAUUGAUUUUUGAAAUUCUUGAUCAUAAACGAGGAAUUCCUAGUAAGCGCAAGUCAGCAGCUUGCGUUGAUUACGUCCCUGCCCUUUGUACACACCGCCCGUCGCUACUACCGAUUGAAUGGUUUAGUGAGAUCUUCGGAUUGGCGCCACUGCAGCUCAGCAAUGGGCUUGGUGGAUGCCGAAAAGUUGAUCAAACUUGAUCAUUUAGAGGAAGUAAAAGUCGUAACA
rnacentral:rRNA from 1 species